GAUCGUCGUAGCUCAACGGAUAGAGCGCCCUUUUCGUAAAGGGGAGGUUGCGGGUUCGAGUCCCGUCGGCGGCUU
rnacentral:tRNA from 1 species